rnacentral:rRNA from 1 species
UGGGGAAUUUUGGACAAUGGGCGAAAGCCUGAUCCAGCAAUGCCGCGUGUGUGAAGAAGGCCUUCGGGUUGUAAAGCACUUUUGUCCGGAAAGAAAUCCUUGGCUCUAAUACAGUCGGGGGAUGACGGUACCGGAAGAAUAAGCACCGGCUAACUACGUGCCAGCAGCCGCGGUAAUACGUAGGGUGCAAGCGUUAAUCGGAAUUACUGGGCGUAAAGCGUGCGCAGGCGGUUUGCUAAGACCGAUGUGAAAUCCCCGGGCUCAACCUGGGAACUGCAUUGGUGACUGGCAGGCUAGAGUAUGGCAGAGGGGGGUAGAAUUCCACGUGUAGCAGUGAAAUGCGUAGAGAUGUGGAGGAAUACCGAUGGCGAAGGCAGCCCCCUGGGCCAAAUACUGACGCUCAUGCACGAAAGCGUGGGGAGCAAAACAGGAUUAGAUACCCUGGUAGUCCACGCCCUAAACGAUGUCAACUAGUUGUUGGGGAUUCAUUUCCUUAGUAACGUAGCUAACGCGUGAAGUUGACCGCCUGGGGAGUACGGUCGCAAGAUUAAAACUCAAA